CCACUGGAAACGGUGGCUAAUACCCCAUAAGCUCACGGUGAUUAGCAGGCUGUGAGAAAAGUUGCGGCGCUGAGGGAGGGGGCUGUGGCCCAUCAGCUAGUUGGUAGGGUAACGGCCUACCAAGGCGAAGACGGGUAGGGGGCCUGAGAGGGUGACCCCCCACACGGGUACUGAGACACGGACCCGACUCCUACGGGAGGCAGCAGUAAGGGAUAUUGCGACAAUGGGCGAAAGCCUGACGCAGCAACGCCGCGUGUGGGAUGACGGCCUUCGGGUUGUAAACCACUUUUCUGUGGGAAGAGGAAGGACGGUACCACAGGAAUAAGUCUCGGCUAACUACGUGCCAGCAGCCGCGGUAAAACGUAGGAGGCGAACGUUAUCCGGAUUUACUGGGUGUAAAGCGCGUGCAGGCGGUGAUGUAAGUCGUGCGUGAAAGCGCCCAGGCUCAACCGGGCGAGGACGUGCGAAACUGCAUGACUAGAGGUAGGUAGAGGCGUGUGGAAUUCCGGGUGUAGUGGUGAAAUGCGUAGAUAUCCGGAGGAACACCAGUGGCGAAGGCGACACGCUGGACCUGACCUGACGCUAAGACGCGAAAGCAUGGGGAGCGAACGGGAUUAGAAACCCCGGUAGUCCAUGCCGUAAACGAUGCAGACUAGGUGUUGCGGUGUCAAACUGCAGUGCCGAAGCCAACGUGAUAAGUCUGCCACCUGGGGACUACGGCCGCAAGGUUAAAACUCAAAGGAAUUGACGGGGGCCCGCACAAGCAGCGGAGCGUGUGGUUUAAUUCGAGGCUACACGAAGAACCUUACCUGGGCUUGACAUACAAGUGGUAGGGAACCGAAAGGGGACCGACCUUCGGGAGCUUGUACAGGUGCUGCAUGGCUG
rnacentral:rRNA from 1 species